rnacentral:misc_RNA from 1 species
GAUGAGGAACGCAGCGAAAUGCGAUAAGUAAUGUGAAUUGCAGAAUUCAGUGAAUCAUCGAAUCUUUGAACGCACAUUGCGCCCCUUGGUAUUCCGAGGGGCAUGCCUGUUCGAGCGUCAUUAUAACCCUCAAGCUCAGCUUGGUGUUGGGGCCUGCUGCACUGGCAGCCCUUAAAAUCAGUGGCGGCGCCAUCUGGCUCUAAGCGUAGUAAUUCUUCUCGCUAUGGAGUCCUGGUGGAUGCUUGCCAUCAACCCCCAAUUUUUCUAUGGUUGACCUCGGAUCAGGUAGGGAUACCCGCUGAACUUAAGCAUAUCAAUAAGCGGAGGA